rnacentral:snRNA from 1 species
AGCUUUGUGCAGGGGCAGUAUCACAGCCCACGGAAGCAUGAUUAUUGCUAAUUGAAAACUCUCCCCAAAGAGGAAGCUUCUUCUAAUUCAUAUUAAAACUCUACAUAAGUU